rnacentral:rRNA from 1 species
UCAGCCGCCGCGGUAAUACCAGCAGCCCAAGUGGUGGUCGCGCUUAUUGGGCCUAAAGCGCUCGUAGCCUGGCCGGUAAGUUCCCCGUGAAAUCGGGACGCCUAACGAUUCGGCUUGCGGGGAAUACUGUCGGUCUUGGGGCCGGGAGACGCCGAGGGUACUCCGGGGGUAGCGGUGAAAUGCUGUAAUCCUCGGGGGACUACCAGUGGCGAAGGCGCUCGGCGAUAACGGGCCUGACGGUGAGGGGCGAAAGCUGGGGGCGCGAACGGGAUUAGAUACCCCGGUAGUCCAGCCGUAAAGGAUGCGGGCAAGGUGCUCGUCGCCCUUCGAGGGCGCCGGGUGCCGUAGAGAAGUCGUUAAGCCCGCCGCCUGGGAAGUACGGUCGCAAGGCUGAAACUUAAAGGAAUUGGCGGGGGAGCACA